UACGUAGGUGACAAGCGUUGUCCGGAUUUACUGGGCGUAAAGAGCGCGCAGGCGGUCGUUCAAGUCGAGUGUGAAAGCCCCCGGCUCAACUGGGGAGGGUCAUUCGAUACUGAUCGACUCGAAGGCAGGAGAGGGAAGUGGAAUUCCCGGUGUAGUGGUGAAAUGCGUAGAUAUCGGGAGGAACACCAGUGGCGAAGGCGACUUCCUGGACCAGCACCGACGUCAGGCACGAAAGCGUGGGGAGCAAACAGG
rnacentral:rRNA from 1 species